UAGAAUAGAUCUUAUUUGCCACUACAAAACAUCAAUAAAGCACGAAUUAUUUAAAUCUGAAAUGUACUAGAGCUUAAAUCCUCCAUCAUGUAUAAAAAAGUCUUCUUACAUAAAUAAUCAUACAGAAAAUAAUAGUACAUUUUAACAUUUGAAGUUAUAGUACACUUAAAUAAUGCAAAAACCAAGAGAGAAGUGGAUCUCACAACUCCAUUCCUGGACCAAAUUCUUCAAUUGUUUUGGUUGCUAGCGUUAAGACGUCUACAAAAGCACUGAAUGAUGCACGAAGAAAUCUGGC
rnacentral:lncRNA from 1 species